AUGAACGCUGGCGGCGUGCCUAAUACAUGCCAGUCGAGCGAACGGACGAGAAGCUUGCUUUUCUGAUGUUAGCGGCGGACGGGUGAGUAACACGUGGAUAACCUACCUAUAAGACUGGGAUAACUUCGGGAAACCGGAGCUAAUACCGGAUAAUAUUUUGAACCGCAUGGUUCAAAAGUGAAAGACGGUCUUGCUGUCACUUAUAGAUGGAUCCGCGCUGCAUUAGCUAGUUGGUAAGGUAACGGCUUACCAAGGCAACGAUGCAUAGCCGACCUGAGAGGAUGAUCGGCCACACUGGAACUGAGACACGGUCCAGACUCCUACGGGAGGCAGCAGUAGGGAAUCUUCCGCAAUGGGCGAAAGCCUGACGGAGCAACGCCGCGUGAGUGAUGAAGGUCUUCGGAUCGUAAAACUCUGUUAUUAGGGAAGAACAUAUGUGUAAGUAACUGUGCACGUCUUGACGGUACCUAAUCAGAAAGCCACGGCUAACUACGUG
rnacentral:rRNA from 1 species